UACGAAGGGUGCAAACGUUGCUCGGAAUUAUUGGGCGUAAAGCGCACGUAGGCGGCUUGGCAAGUCGGAUGUGAAAUCCCUCGGCUCAACCAAGGAAGUGCAUCCGAAACUGCUGAGCUUGAGUACUUAAGAGGAUCGCGGAAUUCCCGGUGUAGAGGUGAAAUUCGUAGAUAUCGUCAAGAACACCGAUAGCGAAGGCAGCUUACUGGGCUGUAACUGACGCUGAGGCACGAAAGUGUGGGGAUCAAACAGG
rnacentral:rRNA from 1 species